UGUAGUUUGUGCAGAUGUAUGUCAGAGAAAAUGUAUAGUAUGUGUCAAAAUAUAUUCUUGUUGCUGUUGCUACUAAUGCUUGGCUCUCUAAUUUUCUGUUCAUCAGGGAGUUUACUAAGAUUUAAAAUAUAAGUUAAGAACUGUGGAAAACAUAUGUUAGAUUGUUGCUUUGGGAUAAUGAGUGAUGUUUCUUAACAAUUUAUGGUUUCCUGUUAAAACACAGCAGUAACAGGUAAGUUAAUAUCCUACCAAAACAGAAGAGGAGAGAGAGAGAGAGAUGGAGAGAAAGAGAAGGAGGAAAGGAAAGGAUGGAGAGGAUUCAGAGUCUAGCUUGUGUAAUUACACUCAAUUCAGCCUACAGGUGAUUCAUCCAUGCUUCUGAGCAGUUUAUAUCAAAUAGUCCAGAAUAGUGAGAGUGUACUCUUAAGUCUUGGAACAAGACUGUCUCUGGGUUGAUCUCCCUCUUCUGUUGCAGUAAUUGUUACAGUGACAUGUGAUGUCCUAUGGACCGGUUGUCAGUGUGGUGAUGGGGAGUGAUGGUCAGUGUACAUGUCAUUCACUGUGAAGGUCCAGAGGGUCCUCUGAUCUCUUCCUGACUUCUGACCUUGCACUCUUGUCUAUUCCCGCCUGCAGAGGCGACAGGAAGAAGGGUAUUACAGCCGCCUGGAAGCUGAGAGGCGCAGACAGCACGAGGAGGCGGCGCGCAGGUUGCUGGAGCCCGAGGAGCCCGGGCUGUGCCGACCUCCACUUCCACGGGACUACGAGCCCCCGUCCCCGUCCCCUGCGCCCAGCGCCCCUCCUCCCCCACCUCAGCGAAACACCUCCUACCUCAAAACGCAGGUCCUCUCCCCAGAUUCGCUGUUCACUGCCAAGUUUGUUGCAUACAAUGAGGAGGAGGAGGAGGAGGAGGAGGACUGCGGCCCAGCAGGACCGCACUCUUACCUGGGGUCUGCUGGGACAGUCACAGGAGCCCACGAUGUUCCUCGGGACCCGAGAGAGAAGCGCACAAGAAGCCAAGAUGCAGAUGUACCUGGAAGUACCGGAGCCCCUGAAAACCUGACAUUCAAAGAGCGCCAGCGCCUCUUUUCACAAGGUCAAGAUGUGUCUGACAAAGUAAAAGCUUCCCGUAAAUUAACAGAACUUGAGAAUGAACUGAACACCAAGUGAGAGGAGGAGAGACUCGUAUUCACCCGAGUCUGCCCAGCCAUGGGCUUGCAGUGUGAGCCUGAAGAGAAAGGAGGAGGUUCUGUUUGGAAAUGAUUACUGAUUUCUGCUUCUAAAAUGGUUGCGAUUUAGAGAUGUUUUGAUUCUAAGAGAAAUGUUAUCUUACUUUACCAAGAAAUGAUCAUUUGUACAACCUAAGCCCUAUCUGAUUCUUAGUCAUCUGACUUGAGUGUGUGUCUUUUUAGUUUCUUCGUGGAGUCUUGGGCUCAAGGGGCAGAAUGAAGGGCAGUAAAGACACUGGUGUGUUUCUUCCCGUCUUCUCCCGUAAUCAUUCCCAGGAACACAGACCAAGAAAUUCUAUUUCUGUUCUUUCUAAAAACUUCAUUUUGACUACCAGACAAUAGCUGAACUGCCCAGACCUCUGUGAGCACUCUAGGGCCAUCGCCUGCUUGCAGGAGAGAGACCUGAAGUCUGCUCCUCCUGCCCCUGUGGCCUUCUGCCCCAGGAUACCUUCCUGUUUGUGCCCAAGCCACCAGGACAGCAGCCUCCUGGACACAGGAUGCCCAGUUCUUAGUUCCUGACAAGUGUGAGCCCUCCUGAUCAAUUCUGAAUGUUUGAUUGAAUUAAAUAUUGAUUAAUAUUUGAUUUUAAGUUUUCUCAAGGAAAAAAUGUUGAGGAUUUACUCUUAGGAGAUUUUGUUUUUACAAAUACCAGAUUGUUGUUAAUGACUCACUGGUGAAAAUUGAAGAUGACAGUUAGUUAGAAAGUUAAUACUUCAAAAUUCAGAGGUAAGAGAGCUCUCUUGCUGAACAGUUCAUGUGACAGGGAUUUAAAAAAAAAAAAAAAAAUCUGAGCUACAUGGGACAUUCAUACCUGACACUCAGAGCGUAACUGUCACUCAGAAAUUUUCAGUUUGAAAAAGAAAGAUUUAUAUUGAUACACUGUCUAUCAGGAAAAGAAGGAAUUCAAGUACUACACCACCUGCAGCUUAAAUAUUGCCAGGAUGACGCAUAUGGAAGUUGAAACUAUGUUUCUUUUACAGUAUAAUAGAGUUAUUUAAUUUUAAUUUGUGAAUUGUGAGUUGCCACUGUCGGUCCUCCAGCUGUAGGUGUGUGGCUGACAUUGGUGGGGAGACGGACCUCAGUUUGUUUAUAUGUGUGAUGUUAAAAAGGUGAAUUACUUUGUGAUUUCAAGCACAUGUCCUAUUUGACAAAGCCCUAAGUGGGUCCAAUGAUCUUUCUGUACCGUACUGUUCUCUUAUAUGUCUGGAAAAUAUGCACACUUUCAAAUGGAAGAACAGAGACAUCCGCCACCCAAAAACCACUUUUAAAAAGAGUUGUAUGAUAAGUCAUUGAAAGUGUAAGUGUAAAUAUUUUUUAUGUCUAUCAGGGUUCUUAUUUGAAAGUGUGCCUUUCCCUUUUCCUCUAAGUAAGAGAGUUGAAUGGUCCUGAGAGUGACAAAGGAUUUGCACCUGCCUGGGGAAGAGUGAGUUCCUCUGGUGUUCUGAGAACACUGUGGCCUGGAGGAGACGCUGAUCAUUGGGACUCUUCCCACAUGGGAACCACACGCGCGCGUGUGCGAACAUCGGUAGACCUGGGGAAGUUAUCUGUGUGGUUAAACAACCCAUGGCCAGGUGGACCCGGCCAUCCCUGGACCUCGAGGUCAAGAGUGAGUGUGUGUAAGAGCGCGUUUCAUAAUGCACAUCCGUCACCAUGGAAAAACAUCCAGAACUGCUGUAGUUUUCCGUUUCUACUGUAUUUCAGUUGCAACCUAUUUUUAAUAAACUUUGUAUGUAUUUAAGACUAUUUGCUAUUAUUUUCAAAGUGCUGACAAAGUUUAUAUUUGUAAUGGCAGCCUUCCUCUGCCCCAUGUCCACCUGCCGCUUGUUCAUUAAACAGUGCCAAGUGUCAGUCC